rfam:Bradyrhizobiaceae bacterium SG-6C chromosome, whole genome shotgun sequence.
GGGCUUUUGCAUCCGCGAUUUGCCCCCUAUAUUGGGGGUGCCGGUUCGCCGGCUAUGGAAAUAAAUGGCCGUCGUAAUAAACCAUUCGGACCCGGGGGCAGCACCCGGCGCCUCCACCAAAACCCGGAUCAUCCUCAAUAGAGAGGCGGGUUUCGGCGGGGGCGAAACAGGAUCGACGAGGGCGUAAAGGACUCGCUUUUUCCCGGUAUUGUUCCGCCGUUAUCGGGCUCUACAAUAGUUGCAAACGACAACUAUGCUCCGGUUGCUCAGGCUGCGUAACGCAGUUUGAAAUACCGACUUAAAGUCCUGACGGAUUAAGCCCCGUCAGGCGGGGUUCGGAGGCACCUGGCAACAGAAGCCUCCACU